GUACUCCUUCCUCUCAAUCUUUUUUAUCAUGUCUGCUAAGCCAACCCCUCCUAGUGACAUUGCACUGACCAAGAUUGUGAAGGACAAAAUGAAGAUGAUUAUAGAUGCUCUUCCUAACAUGUUAAUCACCUUUCUUACCACAUGUUGCCCAACAAAGCCGGCUAUGGUGGUCACAGCAAAGAAGUAGAGAGCAUAGUGAACUGGGAAACGUUUUAGAAGAUAAUAUUCUACCACAGACAUGGAAGCAGAAAAUGUCAUUGCAAAGGUGGCAGUGGCACUUGACACCUGGGGAGGGAUUCCCAUUUCAAGAAAAAGUGGACCUAAAAUGAAUCCUCCACCAAGUCCGAGCAACCCACCAACCAUACCAGCUACUAGACCAAGGAAACAAUAAAUAAGCAACUUGAGUACUCGCCAGUUGGUCCCUGCUUCUCCUUUGGAUGCAAUUUUUCUCCGUCCUUUGUAAAGGCAAACUGCCUGGUAUAUAGUUACUGAAGCUGCAACUGGAAUCUGAGAAAAGUCUAACAACCAAUAUGGUAUGGAACACGUUCUCGAGUAAUUCUUAGCAAUCUGCAAUGCAAGGAUCAUCAACCAUACAGCAAAGAGAAGUCCAAGUGCUUUCCAGUAUACAUUUUCCACAAUAGAGACCUGAGAAUAUUGCAUAAGUUAGUAAUUGUGUGUACACCUGAGAAUAUUUCACUUCCCAAGGGAAAAUGGGCUUGGAGGUAGGGGCAGGCAUUCCUUCCAAUGCACCAACUUGUUUGGGAAGUUUUUUUCAGUUUACAAAGAAGGGAAGGGGCAUUCGAACUUGGUAAAGCCAUUUCUUCCUCUCACUGUUUAGUGCCAAAUCAGGAAAUAGCAUCCACUUGUGUCAAUUUCCUGCCAAACCGUAAGAGUAUACUGUUUCAUAAGUAUUCUUGCCUUUGCCUUUUUAGGAUUUGUGGUUUCUGUUUGAGCACUUUCAUUUAUGCUUUCAGGAGGAGGUUUGGGAACCACAACUUCAACGUUGUUGCCAUUCAAUUCAAGGCAUUUGUGAGCCCCCUAUAAACUCAUAAACAAGUGAGAAAAUGUACAUAAAGAAAUGAUAAUUAGAAUCAAAACUUAAUCCCCCCCAAAAAAAAUUAUAGACCACCUUUUUAGCUAUGGUUUCUUUCUUCCAUAUUUCAAUACCCUUCAAGAAUGCCUUGGUUGACAUAACUGCAGGUAACAUAAGGUCAAUCAUUCAAGAAGUUGUUAUAAAAAAGAACACAAAUUAUUGUGUUACAAUUUGAAGUUAAUAAAGAGAGAAGCAAAAGACAGUUCAUACAAAUGAAGAUAAUAAUUAGCAGAACUGUGAUCAU
rnacentral:misc_RNA from 1 species